ACAGAGGGUGCGAGCGUUGUCCGGAAUCACUGGGCGUAAAGGGCGCGUAGGUGGCGACCCAAGUCGAUGGUGAAAGCUCGCCGCUCAACGGCGAGUCGGCCACCGAUACUGGGUUGCUUGAGCACUGUAGAGGCUAAUGGAAUUCCGGGUGUAGCGGUGGAAUGCGUAGAGAUCCGGAAGAACACCGGUGGCGAAGGCGGCCACCUGGGCCAACACUGACACUGAGGCACGAAAGCGUGGGGAGCAAACAGGA
rnacentral:rRNA from 1 species